rnacentral:rRNA from 1 species
AUUGAACGCUGGCGGCAGGCCUAACACAUGCAAGUCGAACGAGAGGCGGACGGGUGAGUAAUGUCUGGGAAACUGCCUGAUGGCGAGGGAUAACUACUGGAAAAGGUAGCUAAUACCGCAUACCAUCAGAUGUGCCCAUAUGGGAUUAGCUUGUUGGUGGGGUAACGGCUCACCACGGCGACGAUCCCUAGCUGGUCUGAGAGGAUGACCAGCCACACUGGAACUGAGACACGUUCCAGACUCCUACGGGAGCCAGCAGUGGGGAAUAUUGCACAAUGGGCGCAAGCUUGAUGCAGCCAUGCCGCGUGUAUGAAGAAGGCCUUCGGGUUGUAAAGUACUUUCAGCGGGGAGGCGUUACCCGCAGAAGAAGAACCGGCUAACUCCGUGCCAGCAGCCGCGGUAAUUC